rnacentral:rRNA from 1 species
AUAUCAAUAAGCGGAGGAAAAGAAACCAACAGGGAUUGCCUCAGUAACGGCGAGUGAAGCGGCAACAGCUCAAAUUUGAAAUCUGACCCCUCUGGGGGCCCGAGUUGUAAUUUGUAGAGGAUGCUUCGGGUCAGGCUGCGGUCUAAUUCGCUUGGAACAGCGGGUCAGAGAGGGUGAGAAUCCCGUCUAGGACCGCGAGCCGCGCCCGUGUGAAGCUCCUUCGACGAGUCGAGUUGUUUGGGAAUGCAGCUCUAAAUGGGUGGUAAAUUUCAUCUAAAGCUAAAUAUUGGCCAGAGACCGAUAGCGCACAAGUAGAGUGAUCGAAAGAUGAAAAGCACUUUGAAAAGAGAGUUAAACAGUAUGUGAAAUUGUUGAAAGGGAAGCGCUUGCAAUCAGACUUGGAUGCGACGGUUCCCCCGGUCCCACGGACCGGGUCACUCUGUCACACCCAGGCCAGCAUCGGUUCGGGUGGUCGGUGAAAGGCCCCGGGAAUGUAUCUACCUCUGGGUCGACUUAUAGCCCGGGGUGCAAUGCGGCCCACCCGGACCGAGGAACGCGCUCCGGCUCGGAUGCUGGCGUAAUGGUUGUAAGCGGCCCGUCUUGAAACACGGACCAAGGAGUCUAACAUCUAUGCGAGUGUUUGGGUGUCAAACCCCUACGCGUAAUGAAAGUGAACGGAGGUAAGAACCCCGCACGGGGCGCAUUAUCGACCGAUCCUGAUGUCUUCGGAUGGAUUUGAGUAAGAGCAUAGCUGUUGGGACCCGAAAGGUACGUCGCUCCUUUCUCUAUGUUCAAUCCUUUUUUUAUUUUAUUGUCAAUGUACAUCCCAACUUGAAAAUAUAUAUGCUAACUUAUGCUUGUUGAAAGAUGGUGAACUAUGCCUGAAUAGGGUGAAGCCAGAGGAAACUCUGGUGGAGGCUCGCAGCGGUUCUGACGUGCAAAUCGAUCGUCAAAUUUGGGCAUAGGGGCGAAAGACUAAUCGAACCAUCUGGUAGCUGGUUCCUGUCGAAGUUUCCCUCAGGAUAGCAGUAACGUGUUCAGUUUUAUGAGGUAAAGCGAAUGAUUAGAGGCCUUGGGGUUGUAACAACCUUAACCUAUUCUCAAACUUUAAAUAUGUAAGAAGUCCCUGUUGCUUAAUUGAACGGGGACACUUGAAUGUAUCGUUACUAGUGGGCCAUUUUUGGUAAGCAGAACUGGCGAUGCGGGAUGAACCGAACGCGAGGUUAAGGUGCCGGAAUGUACGCUCAUCAGACACCACAAAAGGUGUCAAUGCAUCCAGACAGCCGGACGGUGGCCAUGGAAGUCGGAAUCCGCUUAGGAGUGUGUAACAACUCACCGGCCGAAUGCAUUGGCCCUGAAAAUGGAUGGCGCUUAAGCGUGCUACCUAUACCUCGCCGUUGGGGUUGAAAUGAUGCCCCAACGAGUAGGCAGGCGUGGGGGUUGGUGACGAAGCCUCGGGGGUGACCCUGGGUCGAACAACCCCUAGUG